rnacentral:tRNA from 1 species
GCCUCUAUAGCUCAGUGGUAGAGCGCUUGACUUGUAGCUUGACGACAUCAAGAGGUCCGUGGUUCAAUCCCGCGUGGAGGCA